rnacentral:rRNA from 1 species
UGGGGAAUAUUGCACAAUGGGCGGAAGCCUGAUGCAGCGACGCCGCGUGGGGGAUGACGGCCUUCGGGUUGUAAACCUCUUUCAGUGCAGAACAAGGCUCUUUGUGGGUUGAGGGUAUGCGCAGAAGAAGCGCCGGCUAACUACGUGCCAGCAGCCGCGGUAAUACGUAGGGCGCGAGCGUUGUCCGGAUUUAUUGGGCGUAAAGAGCUCGUAGGCGGUUUGUCGCGUCUGCUGUGAAAUCCUCUGGCUUAACUGGGGGCGUGCAGUGGGUACGGGCAGACUGGAGUGCGGUAGGGGAGACUGGAAUUCCUGGUGUAGCGGUGGAAUGCGCAGAUAUCAGGAGGAACACCGGUGGCGAAGGCGGGUCUCUGGGCCGUUACUGACGCUGAGGAGCGAAAGCAUGGGG